GUGCCAGCAGCCGCGGUAAUACGUAGGUGGCAAGCGUUGUCCGGAUUUACUGGGCGUAAAGGGCGUGCAGGCGGUCUGCUAAGUCUAGGGUGAAAGCUCCCGGCUCAACUGGGAGAGGUCCUUGGAUACUGGCAGACUUGAGGGGGGUAGAGGAGAGUGGAAUUCUCGGUGUAGUGGUGAUAUGCGUAGAUAUCGAGAGGAACACCAGUGGCGAAGGCGGCUCUCUGGGCCCUACCUGACGCUGAGACGCGAAAGCGUGGGGAGCGAACCGGAUUAGAUACCCUAGUAGUCC
rnacentral:rRNA from 1 species